rnacentral:rRNA from 1 species
UACGUAGGGUGCAAGCGUUGUCCGGAAUUAUUGGGCGUAAAGAGCUCGUAGGCGGUCUGUUGCGUCGGCUGUGAAAACCCGGGGCUCAACCCCGGGCCUGCAGCCGAUACGGGCAGACUAGAGUUCGGCAGGGGAGACUGGAAUUCCUGGUGUAGCGGUGAAAUGCGCAGAUAAUCAGGAGGAACACCGGUGGCGAAGGCGGGUCUCUGGGCCGAUACUGACGCUGAGGAGCGAAAGCGUGGGGAGCAAACAGG